rnacentral:lncRNA from 15 species
CUCCACAUAACUUAUAAUAAAUCUGCACAGUUGUGAGCAAUUUUAACCAUGUGUCAUCUUCAAAAUAUAUUUUUGUAUUUCAGGAAGGAGAAUUACAAAAGGAAAAUAGAAAGUAUGAGAUCUUGGUAGAAGUGAGGAGCCAUUCCACUCACUUCCUUGAAAAUCAUGUGAACAGAGUCCGCCCCCACUGCAGAUAGAAUACAAAAACUCUGAACACUGAGUGCUUGCUGCUCUUCCUGCCUCCUCAACAUCACAGAGCAUGCCCCGAAGCCACCAACACAGAUCCUGGAAGGAAGAAGGAGCAAGUCCACUCAGAAUAUAAAAACUCUGAACACUGAGGGCUCGCUGCUCUUUCUGCCUCCUCAACAUUACAGAGCUUUUCAAAGCCAGAAACACAGCAGACACCAACACCUGUUUCAUCCUCACUGUGUGGAUCCCUCUCUACUAGGCCUCACCAUGGCAAAUGAGUGAGUAACAUCAAACAACUAGCAUUCAGUACAGAACACAACGUAUACUUUACUUAGUUUUAAAGGAUAGCAUAAAGCAUAAAGACUGAAAGCUAAACAUGCAAAGAGAUUGUAUGUCAAUGUAAUGUAUUUAUUAUCUCAGUCACAAAAACUGUUAUAAUAAAUUAUUUAACCUUCUUAAAGAAAGAGGAGAUUUUUAGUAAAAUGCUGCAGCACUGAAUGUUUGUUUGGCACUUGCAGGAAGUCACUAACUGUUGAGUUGCUGCAACAAGUAUUUUACUGUAUGAUAUGAGCAACUAAUAUUAAGUUGGGGGCUUUCACUUCUGCUCUAAAGGAGUAGAUAGCAAGAAGAAGCUCCAUUCUAUUUCAACCAAUUAUACAUAUUUUAAGCACCGUUGCUGCACAGCAAGACGGUCCUUAUUGAAUUUGCUGACCAGCCAGGACCUGUGUCUAUACAAAUGAAUAUCUAACAGGAAACUGGCAAUGAAUAUUAUGUGAGCAAAAGAAUUCACCUAUGUUGAAUGAUGUUUCCCUGUAGACAAUUUCACAAUUCAUAAAAACAAGCAACCAGGUGUCUUUAUAAUAAUAUAAUAGAUACAGAAAUCUACAAUUUUAGAGAAAUCAACAAAAGCUCAAAUUCAAAAUAAUUUACCCUUGAUGUUACCUAUUCACAGAGGUGGGUAGAGUAGCCAAAAAUUGUACUCAAGUAAAAGUACUGUUACUUCAGAAUAAUAUGACUAAAGUAAAAGUAAAAAGUAGUCAUCCAAAUAAUUACUUGAGUAAGAGUAAAAAAGUACUAGUAACUACUCAAGUACUGAGUAACUGUUGAGUAAUUUUUUAACACAAGCAUUCAAUCAGACAGACAAAAAUACAAAAUUAUCAUCUUUAGGCAAAUUAUAGUUCAUCCAAUCAAUAAAAUAAAAUAAAAUAAAAUUAACUAAUUAAUUACAAAAUAGCUUAAAUCAAAAUUAUCCAGGUAAAUUCAAGUACUAAAAAAAUAAAAUCAAUAAAAUAAUAAUAAAUACAAAAUAAAUAAGCACAAGUAACACAAAUUUCCAAACCUUUAUACUUUUUUUUACCAGGCUCUGCAGGCAGAACUAGAACAAGGCAGCCCAUAAACUCUCAUAAACUUUGUGUGUGUGUCUGUGUGUGUGUGUGUGUGUGUGUGUGUGUGUGUGUGUGUGUGUGUGUGUGUGUGUGUCUGUGUGUAUAAAGCUCCAUCCCGCCGCUGAGAUUGAGUAUGGUCACAUGACGAGACUGCACAACUACGUUUAAAAC